rnacentral:lncRNA from 1 species
AAUGUAUUGGAAUAAUAAUUAACAACACAGGAGUAGCCAAACUUGAUAAACUCUUGUGAUUUGAUUUGUAGGUAGGUGGAGGGUAUUUCUGAGGAGAGGGCAGCUUGGCCGAGAUCAAGGCCACAAACAUCAGCAAGCUGAACCAGGUAGAGUAAAACAUCUGAGACUUCUUCCUCUAGGUACGUAGCCCUUUUGCAACCUCUCCUUUCCAUUGAAAUAUCUCACACACCUCUCUCACACACACACACACACACACUCAUAUAUAUAUAUAUAUAUAUAUAUAUAUAUAUACAAACAUACAUUUGUACACAAAACAAGGAGAUUAUUAUGUUAUAUUCUUUUUACGUUUUGUGUUGCAAAUCCCGGAUACUGCGAAUUAGGAUCCUCUCCAUUUCUCCAUUUCAAAUGAAAUGGAGAGGAUCUAUUUCAUGGUCUAGAUUUAAAAUGUGCUGAAAAUGAUGAAUGGAAGAGAGUGAUAAUGAUGGGAAAUAUCCUCCAUUUCAAGUUUAACCGUUGGUGUUCAGUGCUAAUUGCAGACAAAUAAUUUUUUAUCAGCAAUUAUGUGGGCGCCGAUGCUCAAACAUGUUGGUAUGCUCUACGGCCUAUAGAAAAAGUCUAGGCAGACGAGAAAAUAGGACAGAAAUAUUGGAUAAGAUUAUAUUUAACUUUUAUCUAUUUAUGUUUUGACCCUCAAAAAGGGGUAAAAAUAUAAAUAGAUGAAAGUUAAUUACACCUCCUGUCCAAUAUUCCUGUUCCAUAUUUCUGUCUGCAUUUGGUUGGUCUAUAAGCUAUUGCAACAUGUUUCUCUUCCUCAACCAACCCCACAAUUUGCUUUGCCAUAACUAAUUCAUGCCAAAGAUGGCGAUGAAGCUGUUUGUGCUUCCAAACACAGCCACUAGUCCUUAGAGGAAACCCAAGUGUGCUGGCUUUUGUACUUGUAUAUUUUAUCUUUCUUCCAGAUCCACCUUUCUUUUUUGGACAUAUUAGGCUUCACAUCUCUUACUUUAGUCCUACUGUCCAACACUAGCUAAUUUUGAAGUAUAUCCUCCAUGAGUAACUGCUCUAAUUUUAUUUUGCAGGGGAAAAACAGAGGGAUAAUAAAAGAAUUUGAUUACAUUCAAUACUAGCCAAUAUGAGUUACAGGACUAAUACACUAACAAAAUACUAGCGCAUGUACAAUAUGCAGGGAAAGAACGGGGCAAAAACAUGGAACAUAAAUAUGUUGGGGGAAAACAAAACAAAAAAAUUUCCAGAAUAUACCAAUCAGUAGCUGAUAUUAUCUUCAUUCAGAAUGGAAGUAUGUUAGGUAAACCAUAGUAAUCCAUGAAGAAAAGGAAAUUCUGAAAUUACUGAAAACAUCAUAUGUAC